AUGAGUAAAAAAAAAAAAGUUUUCAAAUCGGAAAUAACGUGGGUAUCAGGAUUAGGGCAGGGAGCAGAGAAGGAGCAGCGCCAUCGGGGAAGGGAGGCUGAUUGGCAGAGCAUCGGAUGGGGAGGAAGCAUAGACCAGUCACCUCCCAUCGCCGGCACGCUGACCCACCAGUUCAGAGCUGAGUCGAGCAAGUGAGCAACAGUCGCGGUUAUCAACCUGAAUCCGAUUUUUUGGAAUUGUACAAAUCAUCUGACAAGAUUCAAUGCUGGUGGAGAGAGCAAAAUUAAUUUUCUUUUGUUUAUUAUCUUGAAAUUUAAGUGUUGCUUGGACAGACACUCAGUAGUGAAGUUGAAUGGCGACGGAUUUCAACAAUAGUGAGAUCUCAUCUCCUUCUCAUCCUAGAUGGAGAAAAGUGGCAUAUGGAGGGAUGCAACCUGGUUUUGAUGACAAUCACACUGAUGAUUCUUUUCUUGAAGAUCUGGUUAUGAAUGCUAGCGUUGUUAAACGGGACCUGCUGAAGGUGAUGCAAGACUCGGUUUCCAUCUCUCAGUAUCUGUGCAUUGUUGCACUCGUCGGCUUGGUUUGGACCUACACCCUGCAAUCUAUCCUUAGUGAAAAUUCCCUCUUACUUCUUGAUUAGAAGGGACAGUGCUUUAUUUGGGAGGCUAAUAAAAUCCCGGACCUCUAAUUCUCUUUCUUCUUCAAUUCAUCUACUAUCCAUGUCUUUCUUUUUUUCUUCCUCACAUUUUUGUUCACAUUUCUUCCCAUUUCUUCAACCCUGGAAUUCACUCUUCCUGUUGGUAAAUUUUUUUCUUCCCAUUUCUUCAAGCCUCGAAUUUGUUCUUCAGUUCUAAACCCAUGGACAUGGUGGAGGCAGACAUGAAACGAGUAAGGGGCUUGGGUUAUAAUUGAGGCAGAAAUCGAUGUGCCGAUGUUGUGAUGUUGCAAUUCAUCUGAGAUGUGCCAAGAAAUAUUUGUUUCCAGUUGGGUUCUGGCUAUGUGCUGAUGUUGCAAUCUGUUGUGGCGAUGCGAUGUGCUGAUUUUGGGUCCUCGCGGUCUCCAUGCAGUAUUGAUGUUUGAGUCUGUCAUGGGCAAACAAGUUGGUCAUUUGAGCCUUUUGGUCUAACAUUAGAAUAAGCAGCUGAUCUACUUCCUUUGAUAGUCCGAUUGGCCGCAAAUCCUUAAGUUUACUUCUUCCUUGAAUAUGAACCUUUUUUUUUUUCAUCCUUAAAUGUUGAAUUUGAACCCUUCUCUUUCUUGUUUGACACUGUGCAAUGUUUUUAAAUUCUGUAAGAAAUUAUUUUUAUUUUUUUGCUAUGGAGAAUUGAAGUCUUUGGAGGUUUGCUACA